AGUGAACGCUGGCGGUAGGCCUAACACAUGCAAGUCGAACGGCAGCACAGUAAGAGCUUGCUCUUACGGGUGGCGAGUGGCGGACGGGUGAGGAAUACAUCGGAAUCUACUUUUUCGUGGGGGAUAACGUAGGGAAACUUACGCUAAUACCGCAUACGACCUACGGGUGAAUGCAGGGGAGCUUCGGACCUUUCGCGAUUGAAUGAGCCGAUGUCGGAUUAGCUAGUUGGCGGGGUAAGGGCCCACCAAGGCGACGAUCCGUAGCUGGUCUGAGAGGAUGAUCAGCCACACUGGAACUGAGACACGGUCCAGACUCCUACGGGAGGCAGCAGUGGGGAAUAUUGGACAAUGGGCGCAAGCCUGAUGCAGCCAUACCGCGUGGGUGAAGAAGGCCUUCGGGUUGCAAAGCCCUUUUGUUGGGAAAGAAAAGCAGCAGGUUAAUACCCCGCUGUUCUGACGGUACCCAAAGAAUAAGCACCGGCUAACUUCGUG
rnacentral:rRNA from 1 species